GGGCGAUAGCUCAAUUGGUAGAGCACAUCCCUUUUAAGGAUGGGGUCGCGGGUUCGAUCCCCGCUCGCC
rnacentral:tRNA from 1 species